rnacentral:tRNA from 1 species
GCGCCGGUGGUAAAGUGGCAUUAUCCAAGCUUCCCAAGCUUGUGUCCCGGGUUCGAUUCCCGGUCGGCGCA